rnacentral:rRNA from 1 species
AACUAAUUCAGACUGUGAAACUGCGGAUGGCUCAUUAGAUCAGUUAUAGUUUUUUUGAUGGUACCAUACUACUCAGAUAACCGUAGUAAUUCUAGAGCUAAUACAUGCACCAAGUCUCGACUCUUUGGAAGGGAUGCAUUUUUUAGAUAAAAGCCCGGCGCGGGCUUGCCCGCUUCUCCGGUGAAUCAUGAUAACUCGACGGAUCGCACAGCCCUUGUGCUGGCGAUGCUUCAUUCAAAUUUCUGCCCUAUCAACUUUCGAUGGUAGGAUAGAGGCCUACCAUGGUGGUGACGGGUGACGGAAAAUUAGGGUUCGAUUCCGGAGAGGGAGCCUGAGAAACGGCUACCACAUCCAAGGAAGGCAGCAGGCGCGCAAAUUACCCAAUCCUGACAUGGGGAGGUAGUGACAAUAAAUAACAAUACUGGGCUCAUCGAGUCUGGUAAUUGGAAUGAGUACAAGUCUGGUGCCAGCAGCCGUGGUAAUUCCAGCUCCAAUAGCGUAUAUUUAAGUUGCUGCAGUUAAAAAUCUCGUAGUUGGAUCUUGGGUCGUAAAGGUCGGUCCGCCUACUCGGUGUGCACCUGCCCUUCUGUCCCUUUUGUCGGCAGCGUGCCCCUGACCUUAAUUGGCUGGGUCAUGGCUCUGGCGCUGUUACUUUGAAAAAUAAGAGUGCUCAAAGCAAGCUUAUGCUCUGAAUACAUUAGCAUGGAAUAACGUGAUAGGAGUCUGGUCCUAUUGUAUUGGCCUUCGGGACUGGAGUAAUGAUUAAUAGGGACUGACGGGGGCAUUUGUAUUUCAUUGUCAGAGGUGAAAUUCUUGGAUUUAUGAAACACAGACCACUGCGAAAGCAUUUGCCAAGGAUGUUUUCAUUAAUCAAGAAUGAAAGUUGGGGGCUCCACGCGGCACCCAAAAAUUUGGGGUUUCCACCCGGCGCCGAAAAAUUGGGGUUUCCAUGCUGCGCCCAAAAUUUGGGGUUUCCACCCGGCGCCCAAAAUUUGGGGUUUCCAUGCGGCGCUCAAAAUUUGGGGCUUCACCCGGCGCCCAAAAUUUGGGGUUUCCAUGCGGCGCUCAAAAUUUGGGGUUUCCACUCGGUGCCCAAAAUUUGGGAUUUCGAUGCCGCGGCCAAAUUUGGGGUUUCCACCCGGUGCCCAAAAUUUGGGGUUUCCACUCGGCGCCCGAAAUUUGAGGUUUCCAUGCAGCGGCCAAAAUUUGGGGUUUCCACCAAGCGCCCAAAAUUUUGGGUUUCCAUGCAGCGCUCCGGCGCCCAAAAUUUGGGGUUUCCAUGUGGCGCCCUGGCGCCCAAAAUUUGGGGUUUCCACACGGCGCCCAAAAUUUGGGGUUUCCAUGCGGCGCCCAAAAUU